rnacentral:rRNA from 1 species
CAAUAGCGUAUAUUUUAGUUGUUGCAGUUAAAAAGCUCGUAGUUGAAUUUCUGGUGAGCGAGAGUGGUCCGAUCAAUGAUUGGUGCUUGCUCUCGCUGGCCAUCCUUGGGUUUAGCCAGUCUGGCAUUAAGUUGUCGGGCUGGGGAUGCCCAUCGUUUACUGUGAAAAAAUUAGAGUGUUCAAAGCAGACUUAUGUCGUUGAAUAUAUUAGCAUGGAAUAAUAAGAUAGGACUACAGUGCUAUUUUGUUGGUUUGCGCACCGUGGUAAUGAUGAAUAGGGACAGUUGUGGGUAUUCGUAUUCACUUGUAAGAGGUGAAAUUCUUAGAUUAAGGGAAGACGAACUACUGCGAAAGCAUUUACCAAGGAUGUUUUCAUUA